GGCGCCAUAGCCAAGCGGUAAGGCAGAAGUCUGCAAAACUUUUACCCCCGGUUCGAUUCCGGGUGGCGCCUCCA
rnacentral:tRNA from 1 species